rnacentral:rRNA from 1 species
CAGCGCCACGGUAAUACGUAGGUGGUAAGCGUUGUCCGGAUUUAUUGGGCGUAAAGCGAGCGCAGGCGGUUCCUUAAGUCUGAUGUGGAAGCCCCCGGCUCAACCGGGGAGGGUCAUUGGAAACUGGGGAACUUGAGUGCAGAAGAGGAGAGUGGAAUUCCAUGUGUAGCGGUGAAAUGCGUAGAUAUAUGGAGGAACACCAGUGGCGAAGGCGACUCUCUGGUCUGUAACUGACGCUGAGGCUCGAAAGCGUGGGUAGCAAACAGGAUUAGAUACCCCGGUAGUCCCUGUCUCUUAUACU